rnacentral:rRNA from 1 species
GGACGAACGCUGGCGGCGUGCCUAAUACAUGCAAGUCGAGCGAAUCGAYGGGAGCUUGCUCCCUGAGAUUAGCGGCGGACGGGUGAGUAACACGUGGGCAACCUGCCUAUAAGACUGGGAUAACUUCGGGAAACCGGAGCUAAUACCGGAUACGUUCUUUUCUCGCAUGAGAGAAGAUGGAAAGACGGUUUACGCUGUCACUUAUAGAUGGGCCCGCGGCGCAUUAGCUAGUUGGUGAGGUAAUGGCUCACCAAGGCGACGAUGCGUAGCCGACCUGAGAGGGUGAUCGGCCACACUGGGACUGAGACACGGCCCAGACUCCUACGGGAGGCAGCAGUAGGGAAUCUUCCGCAAUGGACGAAAGUCUGACGGAGCAACGCCGCGUGAACGAAGAAGGCCUUCGGGUCGUAAAGUUCUGUUGUUAGGGAAGAACAAGUACCAGAGUAACUGCUGGUACCUGACGGUACCUAAC